CCUACGUGUGGCAGCAGUGGGGAAUAUUGGACAAUGGGCGAAAGCCUGAUCCAGCCAUGCCGCGUGUGUGAAGAAGGCCUUCGGGUUGUAAAGCACUUUCAGUGGGGAAGAAAGCCUUGGGGCUAAUACCCUCGAGGAAGGACAUCACCCACAGAAGAAGCACCGGCUAACUCCGUGCCAGCAGCCGCGGUAAUACGGAGGGUGCGAGCGUUAAUCGGAAUUACUGGGCGUAAAGCGCGCGUAGGCGGUCUGAUAAGCCGGUUGUGAAAGCCCCGGGCUCAACCUGGGAACGGCAUCCGGAACUGUCAGGCUAGAGUGCAGGAGAGGAAGGUAGAAUUCCCGGUGUAGCGGUGAAAUGCGUAGAGAUCGGGAGGAAUACCAGUGGCGAAGGCGGCCUUCUGGACUGACACUGACGCUGAGAUGCGAAAGCGUGGGUAGCAAACAGGAUUAGAUACCCGGUAGUC
rnacentral:rRNA from 1 species